UACGUAGGGUCCGAGCGUUGUCCGGAAUUAUUGGGCGUAAAGAGCUCGUAGGCGGUUUGUCGCGUCUGCUGUGAAAUCCCGAGGCUCAACCUCGGGUCUGCAGUGGGUACGGGCAGACUGGAGUGCGGUAGGGGAGAAUGGAAUUCCUGGUGUAGCGGUGGAAUGCGCAGAUAUCAGGAGGAACACCGAUGGCGAAGGCAGUUCUCUGAGCCGUAACUGACGCUGAGGAGCGAAAGCGUGGGGAGCGAACAGG
rnacentral:rRNA from 1 species